rnacentral:tRNA from 1 species
CGCGCUGUUGGCCCAGGGGUGCCGGGCCGCGCCGUUCCGGGUGGCGGCGUUGACCCGGCCGGAACAGGUCGCGCCGUUCGAGCCCGGACCGCUCGGCC